UACGGAGGGUGCAAGCGUUAUCCGGAUUCACUGGGUUAAAGGGAGCGUAGGUGGGUUGGUAAGUCAGUGGUGAAAUCCCGAGCUUAACUUGGGAACUGCCAUUGAUACUAUCAGUCUUGAAUACUGUGGAGGUUAGCGGAAUAUGUCAUGUAGCGGUGAAAUGCUUAGAUAUGAACAUAGAACACCAAUUGCGAAGGCAGCUGGCUACACAAUUAUUGACACUGAGGCUCGAAAGCGUGGGGAUCAAACAGG
rnacentral:rRNA from 1 species